GCCCAGGUGGUGGAAUUGGUAGACACGCAGGUUUCAGGUACCUGUGCUGCAAGGCGUGAAGGUUCGAGUCCUUUCCUGGGCACCA
rnacentral:tRNA from 16 species